GAAAAGCAGAUAAGGCCCGCCGUGGAAAGGGUUUUGUUCAGAGUCCACCCUUAGUAGUUAAAGCCAUAAAGUCUCUUCUGUUAAUGGUGAGCAUCAUGGAGUUAGUUCAUGUUUAUGGAACAGGAACAGAGAAAAGCAGAGAUAAAGCAAAGGAAAGCUCCCAUAUUAGAAAGCCAUAACAUUCUCAAAGCCCUGCUUUAACUUCCUCCCAGAACUUACAUACAUACAUGCACAGGCACUCACAUAUACUUUCUGGCAAGAGACUGCACUUCCUUCCAAAAUGGUCCAGAAAAGACUUAGAGAUAAUGAGACAUGAGAGGUCUUGCAUGCAUCAUUGAUUGGCAUAUUAUUCUCUGAGUGGUGAAGCUUAUCAAAGUUCUGAUCCAUGAUCUUAAAGCACUCAAACCUAGAAAGUACCAGAUACUACAAAGAAUUUUAACAUGGUUGAAUAAAAUUAAAGAGAAAAAAAACAGUGCUAAGGAAUGAAUUAAUUAAAAAACACCCAGGAAUUAAAACCAGAUUAUAUAAGACAGAGCAGGAAUCCAAAAGCAACCAAGAAAAUUCCUGAUAUCUCUUAAGCUGUAUAUAGCCACAGUGAUGAGAGAGAAUUAUAUUUUUAUAAUUUUGUUUAAUAUAUAUGUUUACCAUUUAUAUAAAUAUAUAUGAUAUAUAUGUGUGUAUGUAUAUGCAUAUGUAUAUGUAUAUAUUUCCUGGAUGUGAGUUGCUAUGUGUGUACUGGAAACUAAACCUGAAUUCUCUGCAAGAGCAGCAAGCACUCUU
rnacentral:lncRNA from 1 species